CAUAGGGGUGCUCAUAAGUGCUUGAUUGCUUGACUGCUUGAUUGCAUGAAUGUGCUGAGAACAUACCCUGAAACUUGAUCCGGAUAAUGCCGGCGUAAGGAAUGAAAUU
rnacentral:ncRNA from 1 species